GAUGAACGCUGGCGGCGUGCCUAAUACAUGCAAGUCGAGCGAAUGGAUUAAGAGCUUGCUCUUAUGAAGUUAGCGGCGGACGGGUGAGUAACACGUGGGUAACCUGCCCAUAAGACUGGGAUAACUCCGGGAAACCGGGGCUAAUACCGGAUAACAUUUUGAACCGCAUGGUUCGAAAUUGAAAGGCGGCUUCGGCUGUCACUUAUGGAUGGACCCGCGUCGCAUUAGCUAGUUGGUGAGGUAACGGCUCACAAAGGCAGCGAUGCGUAGCCGACCGGAGGGGGUGAUCGGCCCCACUGGGACUGAGACACGGCCCAGACUCCUACGGGAGGCAGCAGUAGGGAAUCUUCCGCAAUGGACGAAAGUCUGACGGAGCAACGCCGCGUGAGUGAUGAAGGCUUUCGGGUCGUAAAACUCUGUUGUUAGGGAAGAACAAGUGCUAGUUGAAUAAGCUGGCACCUUGACGGUACCUAACCAGAAAGCCACGGCUAACUACGUGCCAGCCGCCGCGGUAA
rnacentral:rRNA from 1 species